rnacentral:rRNA from 1 species
UACAGAGGUGGCAAGCGUUGUUCGGAAUUACUGGGCGUAAAGGGCGCGUAGGCGGUUCGAUAAGUCACGUGUGAAAUCCCUCGGCUCAACUGAGGAACUGCACGGGAAACUGACGGGCUUGAGUUCGGGAGAGGGAAGCGGAAUUCCGGGUGUAGCGGUGAAAUGCGUAGAUAUCCGGAGGAACACCGGUGGCGAAGGCGGCUUCCUGGACCGACACUGACGCUGAGGCGCGAAAGCUAGGGGAGCAAACGGG